AACGGCCGCGGUACCCUAACCGUGCGAAGGUAGCACAAUCACUUGUUCUUUAAAUUAGGACCAGUAUGAACGGCCCCACGAGAGCUAUACUGUCUCCCCUCUUCAAUCAGUGAAACUGAUCUCCUCGUGAAGAAGCGAGGAUAACCAUAUAAGACGAGAAGACCCCAUGGAGCUUUAAACUUGUGCCGCUGCC
rnacentral:rRNA from 1 species